rnacentral:lncRNA from 1 species
UAAAAUCAUACAGCUAGUGCACAUGCUCAUUUCGUAAUCUGAUUAUGCUCUUUUUGUAAUCUGUAAUCAUCAGUGCCUGAGAAAUGCUAGUGCAUAUGGUGCCUUAGUUUACACGCAAAUAGAAAUGUAUCAAUGUAUAUGUUCCAGAUUAUCAGAUUACAGAUAUAUUUGAGAAAUGUAUAUGUACCUGUGCUCGAGAUAUAUGAAUUUGU